rnacentral:lncRNA from 1 species
AUGAAAGACAAGGACAGGAUACAUUUAGAAAAGGUGGAAAUUGAAGGUAAACAGAAGGAAAUUACAGAGAAAUGGAAAGAGAUACAACUGGAGAAAGAUGAAAUUGAGCAAACGAAGGCCGAGCUACUGAGAUGGAAAGAAGAGAGGAACGUGGAGGAGAGGAAGAUGGCAAUAACGAGGGGUGAAAUCGAAAGUGAAAGAGAAGGACUGGAAAAGCGAUCGGAAAACCUGAGCAAAGAGAAAGAGGACAUCGAAAAAAUGAAGGCUGAAAUAAGUGAGGAAAAACAACGCGUUGACCGCCUGAGGGAGUCAACAAAGAUUGAGAUGAAUACAAUUGAAGAGACGAAAGCCAAACUUCAGAAAGAGAAAGAAGAAAUUGAGCUAGCCAGAGAUGAAUUAAUGAAAGACAAGGACAGGAUACAUUUAGAAAAGGUGGAAAUUGAAGGUAAACAGAAGGAAAUUACAGAGAAAUGGAAAGAGAUGCAACUGGAAAAAGACGAAAUUGAGGAAACGAAGGCAGAACUACUGCGACAGAAAGAACAUAUGAGCGCACUGAAGCACACAGAGGAAAAUAAAAUAGCAAAAAUGAAAGCUGAAAUUGAAGGAGAAAAAGAACAACUGGAAAAGAGACUGGAAGAUUUGAGAAAGGAGAAGGAGGACAUACAGAAAAUGAAGACUGAAAUAAGCAAGGAAAAACAAACUACCGAAAGCCUGAAGGACUCAGCAAGCAAAGAGAUGAAAACAGUCGAAGAGAUGAAAGAGAAACUUCGAAAAGAAAAAGAAGAAAUUGAGCUAGCCAGAGAGAGAAUAAUGAAAGACAAGGACUGGGAGGAAUUUGCAAAGGUGGAAACUGAUGGUAAACAGAAAGAAAUUACUGAGAAAUGGAAAGAGAUACAACUGGAGAAAGAUGAAAUUGAGCAAACGAAGGCCGAGCUACUGAGAUGGAAAGAAGAGAGGAACGUGGAGGAGAGGAAGAUGGCAAUAACGAGGGGUGAAAUCGAAAGUGAAAGAGAAGGACUGGAAAAGCGAUCGGAAAACCUGAGCAAAGAGAAAGAGGACGUCGAAAAAAUGAAGGCUGAAAUAAGUGAGGAAAAACAACGCGUUGGCCGCCUGAGGGAGUCAACAAAGAUUGAGAUGAAUACAAUUGAAGAGACGAAAGCCAAACUUCAGAAAGAGAAAGAAGAAAUUGAGCUAGCCAGAGAUGAAUUAAUGAAAGACAAGGACAGGAUACAUUUAGAAAAGGUGGAAAUUGAAGGUAAACAGAAGGAAAUUACAGAGAAAUGGAAAGAGAUGCAACUGGAAAAAGACGAAAUUGAGGAAACGAAGGCAGAACUACUGCGACAGAAAGAACAUAUGAGCGCACUGAAGCACACAGAGGAAAAUAAAAUAGCAAAAAUGAAAGCUGAAAUUGAAGGAGAAAAAGAACAACUGGAAAAGAGACUGGAAGACUUGAGAAAGGAGAAGGAGGACAUACAGAAAAUGAAGACUGAAAUAAGCAAGGAAAAACAAACUACCGAAAGCCUGAAGGACUCAGCAAGCAAAGAGAUGAAAACAGUCGAAGAGAUGAAAGAGAAACUUCGAAAAGAAAAAGAAGAAAUUGAGCUAGCCAGAGAGAGAAUAAUGAAAGACAAGGACUGGGAGGAAUUUGCAAAGGUGGAAACUGAUGGUAAACAGAAAGAAAUUACAGAGAAAUGGAAAGAGAUACAACUGGAGAAAGAUGAAAUUGAGCAAACGAAGGCCGAGCUACUGAGAUGGAAAGAAGAGAGGAACGUGGAGGAGAGGAAGAUGGCAAUAACGAGGGGUGAAAUCGAAAGUGAAAGAGAAGGACUGGAAAAGCGAUCGGAAAACCUGAGCAAAGAGAAAGAGGACAUCGAAAAAAUGAAGGCUGAAAUAAGUGAGGAAAAACAACGCGUUGACCGCCUGAGGGAGUCAACAAAGAUUGAGAUGAAUACAAUUGAAGAGACGAAAGCCAAACUUCAGAAAGAGAAAGAAGAAAUUGAGCUAGCCAGAGAUGAAUUAAUGAAAGACAAGGACAGGAUACAUUUAGAAAAGGUGGAAAUUGAAGGUAAACAGAAGGAAAUUACAGAGAAAUGGAAAGAGAUACAACUGGAGAAAGACGAAAUUGAGGAAACGAAGGCAGAACUACUGCGACAGAAAGAACAUAUGAGCGCACUGAAGCACACAGAGGAAAAUAAAAUAGCAAAAAUGAAAGCUGAAAUUGAAGGAGAAAAAGAACAACUGGAAAAGAGACUGGAAGACUUGAGAAAGGAGAAGGAGGACAUACAGAAAAUGAAGACUGAAAUAAGCAAGGAAAAACAAACUACCGAAAGCCUGAAGGACUCAGCAAGCAAAGAGAUGAAAACAGUCGAAGAGAUGAAAGAGAAACUUCGAAAAGAAAAAGAAGAAAUUGAGCUAGCCAGAGAGAGAAUAAUGAAAGACAAGGACUGGGAGGAAUUUGCAAAGGUGGAAACUGAUGGUAAACAGAAAGAAAUUACUGAGAAAUGGAAAGAGAUACAACUGGAGAAAGAUGAAAUUGAGCAAACGAAGGCCGAGCUACUGAGAUGGAAAGAAGAGAGGAACGUGGAGGAGAGGAAGAUGGCAAUAACGAGGGGUGAAAUCGAAAGUGAAAGAGAAGGACUGGAAAAGCGAUCGGAAAACCUGAGCAAAGAGAAAGAGGACAUCGAAAAAAUGAAGGCUGAAAUAAGUGAGGAAAAACAACGCGUUGGCCGCCUGAGGGAGUCAACAAAGAUUGAGAUGAAUACAAUUGAAGAGACGAAAGCCAAACUUCAGAAAGAGAAAGAAGAAAUUGAGCUAGCCAGAGAUGAAUUAAUGAAAGACAAGGACAGGAUACAUUUAGAAAAGGUGGAAAUUGAAGGUAAACAGAAGGAAAUUACAGAGAAAUGGAAAGAGAUACAACUGGAGAAAGACGAAAUUGAGCAAACGAAGGCCGAGCUACUGAGAUGGAAAGAAGAGAGGAACGUGGAGGAGAGGAAGAUGGCAAUAACGAGGGGUGAAAUCGAAAGUGAAAGAGAAGGACUGGAAAAGCGAUCGGAAAACCUGAGCAAAGAGAAAGAGGACAUCGAAAAAAUGAAGGCUGAAAUAAGUGAGGAAAAACAACGCGCUGACCGCCUGAGGGAGUCAACAAAGAUUGAGAUGAAUACAAUUGAAGAGACGAAAGCCAAACUUCAGAAAGAGAAAGAAGAAAUUGAGCUAGCCAGAGAUGAAUUAAUGAAAGACAAGGACAGGAUACAUUUAGAAAAGGUGGAAAUUGAAGGUAAACAGAAGGAAAUUACAGAGAAAUGGAAAGAGAUGCAACUGGAAAAAGACGAAAUUGAGGAAACGAAGGCAGAACUACUGCGACAGAAAGAACAUAUGAGCGCACUGAAGCACACAGAGGAAAAUAAAAUAGCAAAAAUGAAAGCUGAAAUUGAAGGAGAAAAAGAACAACUGGAAAAGAGACUGGAAGACUUGAGAAAGGAGAAGGAGGACAUACAGAAAAUGAAGACUGAAAUAAGCAAGGAAAAACAAACUACCGAAAGCCUGAAGGACUCAGCAAGCAAAGAGAUGAAAACAGUCGAAGAGAUGAAAGAGAAACUUCGAAAAGAAAAAGAAGAAAUUGAGCUAGCCAGAGAGAGAAUAAUGAAAGACAAGGACUGGGAGGAAUUUGCAAAGGUGGAAACUGAUGGUAAACAGAAAGAAAUUACUGAGAAAUGGAAAGAGAUACAACUGGAGAAAGAUGAAAUUGAGCAAACGAAGGCCGAGCUACUGAGAUGGAAAGAAGAGAGGAACGUGGAGGAGAGGAAGAUGGCAAUAACGAGGGGUGAAAUCGAAAGUGAAAGAGAAGGACUGGAAAAGCGAUCGGAAAACCUGAGCAAAGAGAAAGAGGACGUCGAAAAAAUGAAGGCUGAAAUAAGUGAGGAAAAACAACGCGUUGACCGCCUGAGGGAGUCAACAAAGAUUGAGAUGAAUACAAUUGAAGAGACGAAAGCCAAACUUCAGAAAGAGAAAGAAGAAAUUGAGCUAGCCAGAGAUGAAUUAAUGAAAGACAAGGACAGGAUACAUUUAGAAAAGGUGGAAAUUGAAGGUAAACAGAAGGAAAUUACAGAGAAAUGGAAAGAGAUACAACUGGAGAAAGAUGAAAUUGAGCAAACGAAGGCCGAGCUACUGAGAUGGAAAGAAGAGAGGAACGUGGAGGAGAGGAAGAUGGCAAUAACGAGGGGUGAAAUCGAAAGUGAAAGAGAAGGACUGGAAAAGCGAUCGGAAAACCUGAGCAAAGAGAAAGAGGACAUCGAAAAAAUGAAGGCUGAAAUAAGUGAGGAAAAACAACGCGUUGGCCGCCUGAGGGAGUCAACAAAGAUUGAGAUGAAUACAAUUGAAGAGACGAAAGCCAAACUUCAGAAAGAGAAAGAAGAAAUUGAGCUAGCCAGAGAUGAAUUAAUGAAAGACAAGGACAGGAUACAUUUAGAAAAGGUGGAAAUUGAAGGUAAACAGAAGGAAAUUACAGAGAAAUGGAAAGAGAUACAACUGGAGAAAGACGAAAUUGAGGAAACGAAGGCAGAACUACUGCGACAGAAAGAACAUAUGAGCGCACUGAAGCACACAGAGGAAAAUAAAAUAGCAAAAAUGAAAGCUGAAAUUGAAGGAGAAAAAGAACAACUGGAAAAGAGACUGGAAGAUUUGAGAAAGGAGAAGGAGGACAUACAGAAAAUGAAGACUGAAAUAAGCAAGGAAAAACAAACUACCGAAAGCCUGAAGGACUCAGCAAGCAAAGAGAUGAAAACAGUCGAAGAGAUGAAAGAGAAACUUCGAAAAGAAAAAGAAGAAAUUGAGCUAGCCAGAGAGAGAAUAAUGAAAGACAAGGACUGGGAGGAAUUUGCAAAGGUGGAAACUGAUGGUAAACAGAAAGAAAUUACAGAGAAAUGGAAAGAGAUACAACUGGAGAAAGAUGAAAUUGAGCAAACGAAGGCCGAGCUACUGAGAUGGAAAGAAGAGAGGAACGUGGAGGAGAGGAAGAUGGCAAUAACGAGGGGUGAAAUCGAAAGUGAAAGAGAAGGACUGGAAAAGCGAUCGGAAAACCUGAGCAAAGAGAAAGAGGACAUCGAAAAAAUGAAGGCUGAAAUAAGUGAGGAAAAACAACGCGUUGGCCGCCUGAGGGAGUCAACAAAGAUUGAGAUGAAUACAAUUGAAGAGACGAAAGCCAAACUUCAGAAAGAGAAAGAAGAAAUUGAGCUAGCCAGAGAUGAAUUAAUGAAAGACAAGGACAGGAUACAUUUAGAAAAGGUGGAAAUUGAAGGUAAACAGAAGGAAAUUACAGAGAAAUGGAAAGAGAUGCAACUGGAAAAAGACAAAAUUGAGGAAACGAAGGCAGAACUACUGCGACAGAAAGAACAUAUGAGCGCACUGAAGCACACAGAGGAAAAUAAAAUAGCAAAAAUGAAAGCUGAAAUUGAAGGAGAAAAAGAACAACUGGAAAAGAGACUGGAAGAUUUGAGAAAGGAGAAGGAGGACAUACAGAAAAUGAAGACUGAAAUAAGCAAGGAAAAACAAACUACCGAAAGCCUGAAGGACUCAGCAAGCAAAGAGAUGAAAACAGUCGAAGAGAUGAAAGAGAAACUUCGAAAAGAAAAAGAAGAAAUUGAGCUAGCCAGAGAGAGAAUAAUGAAAGACAAGGACUGGGAGGAAUUUGCAAAGGUGGAAACUGAUGGUAAACAGAAAGAAAUUACUGAGAAAUGGAAAGAGAUACAACUGGAGAAAGAUGAAAUUGAGCAAACGAAGGCCGAGCUACUGAGAUGGAAAGAAGAGAGGAACGUGGAGGAGAGGAAGAUGGCAAUAACGAGGGGUGAAAUCGAAAGUGAAAGAGAAGGACUGGAAAAGCGAUCGGAAAACCUGAGCAAAGAGAAAGAGGACAUCGAAAAAAUGAAGGCUGAAAUAAGUGAGGAAAAACAACGCGUUGGCCGCCUGAGGGAGUCAACAAAGAUUGAGAUGAAUACAAUUGAAGAGACGAAAGCCAAACUUCAGAAAGAGAAAGAAGAAAUUGAACUAGCCAGAGAUGAAUUAAUGAAAGACAAGGACAGGAUACAUUUAGAAAAGGUGGAAAUUGAAGGUAAACAGAAGGAAAUUACAGAGAAAUGGAAAGAGAUACAACUGGAGAAAGAUGAAAUUGAGCAAACGAAGGCCGAGCUACUGAGAUGGAAAGAAGAGAGGAACGUGGAGGAGAGGAAGAUGGCAAUAACGAGGGGUGAAAUCGAAAGUGAAAGAGAAGGACUGGAAAAGCGAUCGGAAAACCUGAGCAAAGAGAAAGAGGACAUCGAAAAAAUGAAGGCUGAAAUAAGUGAGGAAAAACAACGCGUUGACCGCCUGAGGGAGUCAACAAAGAUUGAGAUGAAUACAAUUGAAGAGACGAAAGCCAAACUUCAGAAAGAGAAAGAAGAAAUUGAGCUAGCCAGAGAUGAAUUAAUGAAAGACAAGGACAGGAUACAUUUAGAAAAGGUGGAAAUUGAAGGUAAACAGAAGGAAAUUACAGAGAAAUGGAAAGAGAUGCAACUGGAAAAAGACGAAAUUGAGGAAACGAAGGCAGAACUACUGCGACAGAAAGAACAUAUGAGCGCACUGAAGCACACAGAGGAAAAUAAAAUAGCAAAAAUGAAAGCUGAAAUUGAAGGAGAAAAAGAACAACUGGAAAAGAGACUGGAAGAUUUGAGAAAGGAGAAGGAGGACAUACAGAAAAUGAAGACUGAAAUAAGCAAGGAAAAACAAACUACCGAAAGCCUGAAGGACUCAGCAAGCAAAGAGAUGAAAACAGUCGAAGAGAUGAAAGAGAAACUUCGAAAAGAAAAAGAAGAAAUUGAGCUAGCCAGAGAGAGAAUAAUGAAAGACAAGGACUGGGAGGAAUUUGCAAAGGUGGAAACUGAUGGUAAACAGAAAGAAAUUACUGAGAAAUGGAAAGAGAUACAACUGGAGAAAGAUGAAAUUGAGCAAACGAAGGCCGAGCUACUGAGAUGGAAAGAAGAGAGGAACGUGGAGGAGAGGAAGAUGGCAAUAACGAGGGGUGAAAUCGAAAGUGAAAGAGAAGGACUGGAAAAGCGAUCGGAAAACCUGAGCAAAGAGAAAGAGGACAUCGAAAAAAUGAAGGCUGAAAUAAGUGAGGAAAAACAACGCGUUGGCCGCCUGAGGGAGUCAACAAAGAUUGAGAUGAAUACAAUUGAAGAGACGAAAGCCAAACUUCAGAAAGAGAAAGAAGAAAUUGAGCUAGCCAGAGAUGAAUUAAUGAAAGACAAGGACAGGAUACAUUUAGAAAAGGUGGAAAUUGAAGGUAAACAGAAGGAAAUUACAGAGAAAUGGAAAGAGAUACAACUGGAGAAAGACGAAAUUGAGGAAACGAAGGCAGAACUACUGCGACAGAAAGAACAUAUGAGCGCACUGAAGCACACAGAGGAAAAUAAAAUAGCAAAAAUGAAAGCUGAAAUUGAAGGAGAAAAAGAACAACUGGAAAAGAGACUGGAAGACUUGAGAAAGGAGAAGGAGGACAUACAGAAAAUGAAGACUGAAAUAAGCAAGGAAAAACAAACUACCGAAAGCCUGAAGGACUCAGCAAGCAAAGAGAUGAAAACAGUCGAAGAGAUGAAAGAGAAACUUCGAAAAGAAAAAGAAGAAAUUGAGCUAGCCAGAGAGAGAAUAAUGAAAGACAAGGACUGGGAGGAAUUUGCAAAGGUGGAAACUGAUGGUAAACAGAAAGAAAUUACUGAGAAAUGGAAAGAGAUACAACUGGAGAAAGAUGAAAUUGAGCAAACGAAGGCCGAGCUACUGAGAUGGAAAGAAGAGAGGAACGUGGAGGAGAGGAAGAUGGCAAUAACGAGGGGUGAAAUCGAAAGUGAAAGAGAAGGACUGGAAAAGCGAUCGGAAAACCUGAGCAAAGAGAAAGAGGACAUCGAAAAAAUGAAGGCUGAAAUAAGUGAGGAAAAACAACGCGUUGGCCGCCUGAGGGAGUCAACAAAGAUUGAGAUGAAUACAAUUGAAGAGACGAAAGCCAAACUUCAGAAAGAGAAAGAAGAAAUUGAGCUAGCCAGAGAUGAAUUAAUGAAAGACAAGGACAGGAUACAUUUAGAGAAAGAAGAAAUUGAGCUAGCCAGAGAUGAAUUAAUGAAAGACAAGGACAGGAUACAUUUAGAAAAGGUGGAAAUUGAAGGUAAACAGAAGGAAAUUACAGAGAAAUGGAAAGAGAUACAACUGGAGAAAGAUGAAAUUGAGCAAACGAAGGCCGAGCUACUGAGAUGGAAAGAAGAGAGGAACGUGGAGGAGAGGAAGAUGGCAAUAACGAGGGGUGAAAUCGAAAGUGAAAGAGAAGGACUGGAAAAGCGAUCGGAAAACCUGAGCAAAGAGAAAGAGGACGUCGAAAAAAUGAAGGCUGAAAUAAGUGAGGAAAAACAACGCGUUGGCCGCCUGAGGGAGUCAACAAAGAUUGAGAUGAAUACAAUUGAAGAGACGAAAGCCAAACUUCAGAAAGAGAAAGAAGAAAUUGAGCUAGCCAGAGAUGAAUUAAUGAAAGACAAGGACAGGAUACAUUUAGAAAAGGUGGAAAUUGAAGGUAAACAGAAGGAAAUUACAGAGAAAUGGAAAGAGAUACAACUGGAGAAAGACGAAAUUGAGGAAACGAAGGCAGAACUACUGCGACAGAAAGAACAUAUGAGCGCACUGAAGCACACAGAGGAAAAUAAAAUAGCAAAAAUGAAAGCUGAAAUUGAAGGAGAAAAAGAACAACUGGAAAAGAGACUGGAAGAUUUGAGAAAGGAGAAGGAGGACAUACAGAAAAUGAAGACUGAAAUAAGCAAGGAAAAACAAACUACCGAAAGCCUGAAGGACUCAGCAAGCAAAGAGAUGAAAACAGUCGAAGAGAUGAAAGAGAAACUUCGAAAAGAAAAAGAAGAAAUUGAGCUAGCCAGAGAGAGAAUAAUGAAAGACAAGGACUGGGAGGAAUUUGCAAAGGUGGAAACUGAUGGUAAACAGAAAGAAAUUACUGAGAAAUGGAAAGAGAUACAACUGGAGAAAGAUGAAAUUGAGCAAACGAAGGCCAAGCUACUGAGAUGGAAAGAAGAGAGGAACGUGGAGGAGAGGAAGAUGGCAAUAACGAGGGGUGAAAUCGAAAGUGAAAGAGAAGGACUGGAAAAGCGAUCGGAAAACCUGAGCAAAGAGAAAGAGGACAUCGAAAAAAUGAAGGCUGAAAUAAGUGAGGAAAAACAACGCGUUGGCCGCCUGAGGGAGUCAACAAAGAUUGAGAUGAAUACAAUUGAAGAGACGAAAGCCAAACUUCAGAAAGAGAAAGAAGAAAUUGAGCUAGCCAGAGAUGAAUUAAUGAAAGACAAGGACAGGAUACAUUUAGAAAAGGUGGAAAUUGAAGGUAAACAGAAGGAAAUUACAGAGAAAUGGAAAGAGAUACAACUGGAGAAAGAUGAAAUUGAGCAAACGAAGGCCGAGCUACUGAGAUGGAAAGAAGAGAGGAACGUGGAGGAGAGGAAGAUGGCAAUAACGAGGGGUGAAAUCGAAAGUGAAAGAGAAGGACUGGAAAAGCGAUCGGAAAACCUGAGCAAAGAGAAAGAGGACAUCGAAAAAAUGAAGGCUGAAAUAAGUGAGGAAAAACAACGCGUUGACCGCCUGAGGGAGUCAACAAAGAUUGAGAUGAAUACAAUUGAAGAGACGAAAGCCAAACUUCAGAAAGAGAAAGAAGAAAUUGAGCUAGCCAGAGAUGAAUUAAUGAAAGACAAGGACAGGAUACAUUUAGAAAAGGUGGAAAUUGAAGGUAAACAGAAGGAAAUUACAGAGAAAUGGAAAGAGAUACAACUGGAGAAAGACGAAAUUGAGGAAACGAAGGCAGAACUACUGCGACAGAAAGAACAUAUGAGCGCACUGAAGCACACAGAGGAAAAUAAAAUAGCAAAAAUGAAAGCUGAAAUUGAAGGAGAAAAAGAACAACUGGAAAAGAGACUGGAAGAUUUGAGAAAGGAGAAGGAGGACAUACAGAAAAUGAAGACUGAAAUAAGCAAGGAAAAACAAACUACCGAAAGCCUGAAGGACUCAGCAAGCAAAGAGAUGAAAACAGUCGAAGAGAUGAAAGAGAAACUUCGAAAAGAAAAAGAAGAAAUUGAGCUAGCCAGAGAGAGAAUAAUGAAAGACAAGGACUGGGAGGAAUUUGCAAAGGUGGAAACUGAUGGUAAACAGAAAGAAAUUACUGAGAAAUGGAAAGAGAUACAACUGGAGAAAGAUGAAAUUGAGCAAACGAAGGCCGAGCUACUGAGAUGGAAAGAAGAGAGGAACGUGGAGGAGAGGAAGAUGGCAAUAACGAGGGGUGAAAUCGAAAGGGAAAGAGAAGGACUGGAAAAGCGAUCGGAAAACCUGAGCAAAGAGAAAGAGGACAUCGAAAAAAUGAAGGCUGAAAUAAGUGAGGAAAAACAACGCGUUGGCCGCCUGAGGGAGUCAACAAAGAUUGAGAUGAAUACAAUUGAAGAGACGAAAGCCAAACUUCAGAAAGAGAAAGAAGAAAUUGAGCUAGCCAGAGAUGAAUUAAUGAAAGACAAGGACAGGAUACAUUUAGAAAAGGUGGAAAUUGAAGGUAAACAGAAAGAAAUUACAGAGAAAUGGAAAGAGAUACAACUGGAGAAAGAUGAAAUUGAGCAAACGAAGGCCGAGCUACUGAGAUGGAAAGAAGAGAGGAACGUGGAGGAGAGGAAGAUGGCAAUAACGAGGGGUGAAAUCGAAAGUGAAAGAGAAGGACUGGAAAAGCGAUCGGAAACCUGAGCAAAGAGAAAGAGGACAUCGAAAAAAUGAAGGCUGAAAUAAGUGAGGAAAAACAACGCGUUGGCCGCCUGAGGGAGUCAACAAAGAUUGAGAUGAAUACAAUUGAAGAGACGAAAGCCAAACUUCAGAAAGAGAAAGAAGAAAUUGAGCUAGCCAGAGAUGAAUUAAUGAAAGACAGGUCUGGAUACAUUUAGAAAAGGUGGAAAUUGAAGGUAAACAGAAGGAAAUUACAGAGAAAUGGAAAGAGAUACAACUGGAGAAAGACGAAAUUGAGCAAACGAAGGCCGAGCUACUGAGAUGGAAAGAAGAGAGGAACGUGGAGGAGAGGAAGAUGGCAAUAACGAGGGGUGAAAUCGAAAGUGAAAGAGAAGGACUGGAAAAGCGAUCGGAAAACCUGAGCAAAGAGAAAGAGGACGUCGAAAAAAUGAAGGCUGAAAUAAGUGAGGAAAAACAACGCGUUGACCGCCUGAGGGAGUCAACAAAGAUUGAGAUGAAUACAAUUGAAGAGACGAAAGCCAAACUUCAGAAAGAGAAAGAAGAAAUUGAGCUAGCCAGAGAUGAAUUAAUGAAAGACAAGGACAGGAUACAUUUAGAAAAGGUGGAAAUUGAAGGUAAACAGAAGGAAAUUACAGAGAAAUGGAAAGAGAUACAACUGGAGAAAGACGAAAUUGAGGAAACGAAGGCAGAACUACUGCGACAGAAAGAACAUAUGAGCGCACUGAAGCACACAGAGGAAAAUAAAAUAGCAAAAAUGAAAGCUGAAAUUGAAGGA